GAUGAACGCUAGCUACAGGCUUAACACAUGCAAGUCGAGGGGCAGCACUAGGUAGCAAUACUGAGGUGGCGACCGGCGCACGGGUGCGUAACGCGUAUCCAACCUUCCCGUUACUCUUGGAUAGCCUUCCGAAAGGGAGAUUAAUACAAGAUGGUAUUCAAAUUCCGCACGUUAUUUGAAUUAAAGAUUUAUCGGUAACGGAUGGGGAUGCGUGACAUUAGAUAGUAGGCGGGGUAACGGCCCACCUAGUCUACGAUGUCUAGGGGUUCUGAGAGGAAGGUCCCCCACACUGGAACUGAGACACGGUCCAGACUCCUACGGGAGGCAGCAGUGAGGAAUAUUGGUCAAUGGUCGGAAGACUGAACCAGCCAAGUAGCGUGAAGGAUGAAGGUUCUAUGGAUUGUAAACUUCUUUUAUACGGGAAUAAAACCUCCACGUGUGGGAGCUUGUAUGUACCGUAUGAAUAAGCAUCGGCUAACUCCGUG
rnacentral:rRNA from 1 species